rnacentral:rRNA from 1 species
ACUCCUACGGGAGGCAGCAGUAGGGAAUCUUUCACAAUGGGCGAAAGCCUGAUGGAGCAAUGCCGCGUGCAGGACGAAGGCCUUCGGGUUGUAAACUGCUUUUAUAAGCGAGAAAUAUGAUGGUAACUUAUGAAUAAGGAUCGGCUAACUACGUGCCAGCAGCCGCGGUCAUACGUAGGAUCCGAGCAUUAUCCGGAGUGACUGGGUGUAAAGAGUUGCGUAGGUGGCAAGAUAAGUAGAUAGUGAAAUCUGGUGGCUCAACCAUUCAGACUAUUAUCUAAACUAUCUAGCUCGAGACUGUUAUGGGUAACUGGAAUUUCUAGUGUAGGAGUGAAAUCCGUAGAUAUUAGAAGGAACACCGAUAGCGUAGGCAGGUUACUGGGACAGUUCUGACACUAAGGCACGAAAGCGUAGGGAGCAAACGGGAUUAGAUACCCCGGUAGUCUACGCCGUAAACGAUGGAUACUAGCAGUUUUGGGUAUCGACCCCCGGAGUUGCGAAGCUAACGCGUUAAGUAUCCCACCUGUGUAGUACGAUCGCAAGAUUAAAACAUAAAGGAAUUGACGGGGACCCGCACAAGCGGUGGAGCGUGAUCUUUAAUUCGAUGGUAAACGAUAAACCUUACCAAGGCUUGACAUCCGAUGUAGGCUCUCGAAAGAGAACUGUGCCUUCGGGAACAUCGAGACAGGUGAUGCAUGGCCGUCGUCAGCUCGUGUCGUGAGAUGUUUGGUUAAGUCCAUCAACGAGCGCAACCCUUGCAACCAGUUGUAUUUUUCUGGUAGGACUGCCCCGGUAACGGGGAGGAAGGAGGGGAUGAUGUCAGGUCAGUAUUUCCCUUACGCCUUGGGCUAGAAUCGCGCUACAAUGGCUGGUACAAUGCGAAGCGAAGCAGUGAUGUGAAGCAAAUCGCACCAAAGCCGGUCCCAGUUCGGAUAAAAGGCUGAAACUCGCCUUUUUGAAGUCGGAAUCGCUAGUAAUCGCAGAUCAGCAUGUUGCGGUGAAUACGUUCCCGGGUCUUGUACACACCGCCCGUCAAACCAUGAGAGUCACCAACACCCGAAGUCCGCCUCGGCGGCCUAAGGUGGGGGAGAUGAUUGGGGUUAAGUCGUAACAAGGCAUCGGUACGAGAACGUGUCGAUG